CCUUUAUUUUCAUCCAACGUAGACUUACAAGCCCCAUAGCCAUCGAAAGAGUAAAUAUAUUUGUCAAGUUGCCACAGUUAUGAAUUUCUAAAAACUUUAGAUUUUGAAAGCACAAAAUUCUGGGCAUCUAUGCUCCAUAAAUGCCUCAACCUUGGUAGAUCAAUUAAAUCCAAUGUCUGUAACUGCGACAUCAGCCCGACUUUCCCAUCUUCAGCGUUUUGGCCUUCCAAAUCAAAUACUUCUUCUAUUAAGUCGCAUUUUUUCACAAUCAAGUGUGUCAAUU
rnacentral:misc_RNA from 1 species